rnacentral:rRNA from 1 species
UACGUAGGGAGCAAGCGUUGUCCGGAAUCAUUGGGCGUAAAGCGCGCGUAGGUGGCUUCGUAAGUCCGUUGUGAAAGUCAAAGGCUCAACCUUUGAAAGCCGAUGGAUACUGUGAAGCUAGAGUACGGAAGAGGCGAGUGGAAUUCCUGGUGUAGCGGUGGAAUGCGCAGAUAUCAGGAGGAACACCAAUAGCGAAGGCAGCUCGCUGGGACGUUACUGACACUGAGGCGCGAAAGCCAGGGGAGCGAACGGG